rnacentral:rRNA from 1 species
GACAGAGGGGGCAAGCGUUGCUCGGAAUUACUGGGCGUAAAGGGCGCGUAGGCGGGCUGGCAAGUCGGUCGUGAAAUCCCUCGGCUCAACUGAGGAUCGUCGAUCGAUACUGCCGUUCUUGAGGAUUGCAGAGGAGACUGGAAUUCUCGGUGUAGCAGUGAAAUGCGUAGAUAUCGAGAGGAACACCAGUGGCGAAGGCGAGUCUCUGGACAACACCUGACACUGAGGCACGAAAGCCGGGGGAGCAAACAGG